GGCUCAGAUUGAACGCGUGCGGCAGGCCUAACACAUGCAAGUCGAGCGGUAGAGAGGUGCUUGCAUCUCUUGAGAGCGGCGGACGGGUGAGUAAUGCCUAGGAAUCUGCCUAGUGGUGGGGGAUAACGUUCGGAAACGGACGCUAAUACCGCAUACGUCCUACGGGAGAAAGCGGGGGGAUCUUCGGACCUCGCGCCAUUAGAUGAGCCUAGGUCGGAUUAGCUAGUUGGUGAGGUAAUGGCUCACCAAGGCGACGAUCCGUAACUGGUCUGAGAGGAUGAUCAGUCACACUGGAACUGAGACACGGUCCAGACUCCUACGGGAGGCAGCAGUGGGGAAUAUUGGACAAUGGGCGAAAGCCUGAUCCAGCCAUGCCGCGUGUGUGAAGAAGGUCUUCGGAUUGUAAAGCACUUUAAGUUGGGAGGAAGGGUAGUAACCUAAUACGUUGCUACUUUGACGUUACCGACAGAAUAAGCACCGGCUAACUUCGUG
rnacentral:rRNA from 1 species